UGCAUUCACUUGUUGGCUUCAGGACAACACUGGAGUCACUCUUCAGAUACCAUGGCUGCUGCUCUUGUUGUCUUCUUCUGCCUCAUCUCCUCGGUCUUAUUGACAGGUGUCACAUCUCUAAAAUGCCAGACCUGUUUGGCCACUAGAGGAGAAUGUAGAAACGAGGACAUGGCAUUGACAGAGUGUGAUCCAGACCAAACACAUUGCCUUUCCUUGAGUUCCUUUAUUUGUCUGACCACUCCUUCACUCAGAUACACGGCUAAGUCUUGUGCAAGGGCUGAGGAAUGUACUGAUGGCUUUUACAGUAUCACCUCCGCACAGGGAAAAUAUGCUCAAGUAAAAUUUUUCUGUUGCCAGUCAGACGGUUGCAAUAACCUGCCUCUUCUGUUGCCAUUCCGUGAUGAACUCAAACCCAAUGGAUUGGUAUGUUUUGGAUCGUACACAACACACAGAGAUUCCCACCAGCCAACUCAGCCAAUCCUCUGCCUUGGCCAAGAGACGCGUUGUGUCAACAUGAAUUUGACCAUCAAUACAUUUGGAGCUUUCAAAGAGGAGGGUUUCUUCCAAGGAUGCGGAACCCCAAAUGUAUGUACCUAUCCUGACGGAGAGAUGCGAAUGGCCAAUGACCUUGUAGUAUUCAGCACCACGAAGGAGUGUAACACUGUGCCAUUAUCACUUGACAACAGUUUUCUUUCCAUGUAGUCAGAUUAUAGCCUUCUUCCUUUCUCUUUCAGGAUGUAUAAAAGUGAGAAGGAGGUUGGAGCUUCGGUAGUAAGAGUAACAGAGGUUUGGGGUUAAGCAUUCUUGAGAGCUUGGUAGUAAUUUAAAAUAUGGAGGAGCAGUCCUGAGAGGGUUGAAAUGCUGUGUUUGGGUCUACUAGCAGCUGAGGGGAAGGUGGUUUUUCUCUAAACAUUCCAUUUUCACUAAAUCAUAAUGACAAUAAAUUGUGGUGUUGAAAUGCUGUGUUUGGGGCUACUAGCAGCUGAGGGGAAGGUGGUUUUUCUCUAAACAUUCCAUUUUCACUAAAUCAUAAUGACAAUAAAUUGUGGUGUUGAAAGCA